UACAGAGGGUGCAAACGUUGCUCGGAAUUAUUGGGCGUAAAGCGCGUGUAGGCGGCCCGUUAUGUCGGCUGUGAAAGCCCAUGGCUCAACCAUGGAAGUGCAGCCGAAACUGGCGGGCUUGAGUCCUGGAGAGGGUGGCGGAAUGCCCAGUGUAGAGGUGAAAUUCGUAGAUAUUGGGUAGAACACCGGUGGCGAAGGCGGCCACCUGGACAGCGACUGACGCUAAGACGCGAAAGCGUGGGGAGCGAACAGG
rnacentral:rRNA from 1 species